UAUUGCACAAUGGGGGGAACCCUGAUGCAGCGACGCCGCGUGGGUGAAGUAGUACUUCGGUACGUAAAGCCCUAUCAGCAGGAAAGAAAAUGACGGUACCUGACUAAGAAGCCCCGGCUAACUACGUGCCAGCAGCCGCGGUAAUACGUAGGGGGCAAGCGUUAUCCGGAUUUACUGGGUGUAAAGGGAGCGUAGACGGCAGUGCAAGUCCGGAGUGAAAGCCCGGGGCUCAACCCUGGGACUGCUCUGGAAACUGUAAAGCUGGAGUGCGGGAGGGGCAGGCGGAAUUCCUGGUGUAGCGGUGAAAUGCGUAGAUAUCAGGAGGAACACCGGCGGCGAAGGCGGCCUGCUGGACCGUAACUGACGUUGAGGCUCGAAAGCGUGGGGAGCAAACAGGA
rnacentral:rRNA from 1 species